CAUACAGCGCAUGCGUUGGUCGCCAUUUUAGACAACUAUCUUACAGUACAGUUGACACGAAAAUAAAUCAAGUUAGCUGACGACGUGAUUAUUGCAUCGUUUGUAAAUUGUCGCCUCAUAUGUUGCGAUUUUUUUGCAAAUUGUUGUUAAGACAAACCUGCCUCAGUUUACUCAGAAGCUUCGGGCGAGCUUAGCUUGUUAGCUGCUAACAAUAGAGACGCGGAAGUUAUCAACACAUCCUCUAUGCAGAGAUCGAGUGUUGUGGUUGUGUGAACAUGUGUAAAGUACAAAUGCUGAGAGCGUUGGUCAACCAGCGACUGACUUCGCUGUAGAAGACAUAUUUGUAGUGUUAGAAAGAAUGAUAGCAGAGUACGAGGAGGAGAUUUCUCGAAUAAAAGAGGAGAACGAGCGACUACUGGACGCUGUUUUCAAGACUCGAAUAGAGUCAAACAGAUCAGGGUCUGCGGGAUAAUAGAGUCCAGAUUUGAGAGGUCCAGACGCCAGCGAAGAUAAUGUUCCCCCUGAGCAGCAGAAGUGGAGUUUCAGGAUGGAGCAAGAGUGGCCGGAGCCCCCUCACAUUAAAGAAGAAGAGGAGGAUCACAGCAUCACUCAGGAAGGGGAGCAUUUGAAAGGACUGGAGGAGUUCCCAGUGAUUCAUGACCUUGUAAAAAGUGAAAUUGACGAAGACAAAGAUCAAAGUAAAGACCCAAGCAGCAGCUCAACUCAACACAUGGCAUCCGAGGCAGAUGGCGACCACUUUGGAGCAUCACAAGCAGACAACCUCUUAGCUCCACUAUCAGAUAGUGACGACACAACGUCACACUCUGCUGACACUGAUGAUGACGACGACUCAGCAGAUAAGACAUGUCACACUAGCAACACGCAUUUCGAAUGCUCUCACUGUGACAAAACCUAUGGUAAAAAGGGUAAUCUGAAAAGACAUAUGAUAUGUCACACUGGAGAGAAACAUUUUCCUUGCUCAGUCUGUGGUAAAAGUUUUUUUCAUAAAUCCCAUUUAAAAGAACACACAAGAAUACACACAGGAGAAAAACCUUUUCCUUGCUCUGUUUGUGGUAAAAGAUUUACUAAAAAACACGGUUUAAAGAGACAUACAAGAACACACACUGGAGAAAAACCUUUUCCUUGCUCGGUGUGUGGCAAAAGAUUUACUAAAAAAGAUGGUUUAACGAGACACACACGAACACACACUGGAGAGGAGCCUUUUUCCUGCUUAGUUUGUGGUCAAAGGUUUUCUCAGAAGAUAACUUUGAUUGGACACAUAAGAACACACACUGGAGAAUAUCCACUGAAUGCGUGACGGCAACAAAACGCGGUCUACCAAUCCCUUACCGCCGUUUUGUUGCAGCUCCGCCCUGCCGUGAAAUAGCGUGGACUUUUUACGAGAUCUCGCAAAUCCGCACCUAAUCACGUGAUAAGGGAAGUUGUUCUAAAGCGGACCACAAACAAUUUAUCCUGUCUUUCCAGAGGAGCAAAAGCAAAUAAACUCAGUCCUGCUUUUUGAGAUACGUAACGGCUGCUGAAUGGCAACACCACGGAUCGUCCGUCAAUACCCACAGGUGGGCGUCUGUGACGGCAUUGACUUAACUUGACCCGUAGAAAAGAUGACCAGAAUGACAACUUUUUUUCUUUUUUUUUUAGCAAACAACAACACAACAGUAACAUCAUUCAUCCCAGAUCCCAAUCAACGCUCGCUAACCACUCCCCUCUUCCCUGGCCCCCUGUAUCAGCUUAUAUUUGACACAGGCUCCUAUAUAGAUGCCUGCGAUAAAUAUUUUUAAUUUUGGACCUCCAGAAUCAGCAUAUCCUCAUCCAUUGGUGUCAACAAGGUGAAAUUAUGCCUGAAAACCUUUGACAAGUUGACUUUAUGUCUGUCCCAACAUGUUGAAGUGUAAAAUACGAUCCGCCUUGAAAAUGGUGUAUUUUAUUUUGAAAGUAAACUGGAUCAUAUAUUUUGUGUUUUUGCAUGACUUCCUGACCAACACAAGCAGAUUUUAGCCAAAUUGAACCGUCGUGUUGCGGCGACCGGCAAAUAUAGAAGCUUUGACACAUUGACUUGAAUCAAAUAGGGAAGAGUCUGCCGUCAUGUCGGCGCAGUUCCGCUGCCAUACCGCAUCCAGUGAAAAUCCAGGGUGAAACUUUUUUAGGACACUUUCUGCACAAUAAGGGAACUACAAGUAGACAAGACAGUAUUACUCUAUAAAAAACAACAGUGUUCUUCAAGGUGAACUUAAAGAUUUUAAGCUUCCAAAUGUAGUUUUUACAGUAAGUAACUUCUGCAAUAAAC